rnacentral:rRNA from 1 species
GACGAACGCUGGCGGCGUGCUUAACACAUGCAAGUCGAACGGAAAGGCCCUGCUUUUGUGGGGUGCUCGAGUGGCGAACGGGUGAGUAACACGUGAGUAACCUGCCCUUGACUUUGGGAUAACUUCAGGAAACUGGGGCUAAUACCGGAUAGGAGCUCCUGCUGCAUGGUGGGGGUUGGAAAGUUUCGGCGGUUGGGGAUGGACUCGCGGCUUAUCAGCUUGUUGGUGGGGUAGUGGCUUACCAAGGCUUUGACGGGUAGCCGGCCUGAGAGGGUGACCGGCCACAUUGGGACUGAGAUACGGCCCAGACUCCUACGGGAGGCAGCGGUGGGGAAGAGUACACAAUGGGCGGAAGCCUGAUGCAGCAACGCCGCGUGCGGGAUGACGGCCUUCGGGUUGUAAACCGCUUUCGCCUGUGACGAAGAGUGAGUGACGGUAAUGGGUAAAGAAGCACCGGCUAACUACGUG